UCUCUGGUGGCUCAGACGGUAAAGCAUCUGCCUGCAAUACAGGAGACCCGGGUUCGAUUCCUGGGUCGGGAA
rnacentral:tRNA from 1 species